rnacentral:lncRNA from 1 species
GAGGUUCUGCCACAUUAUAAUACAUGGUUUCUACGUCUUUUCAUUUCCAUUUUACGUUUUCAAUUUUUCUUGCUUUUUAUUUACUGAUUCUAAUUAACUUUUCUUCAUUUUAUUUUCAUCUUUAAUUUAUUUUUCAUCCCAUCUAGUUCAUAAAGUGUUGUAGCCAGUAGGUUAAUUUAUUCUGGAUCAUUCAUAAAGUACUUAAAAAUGUUUCAUUGUGUAUUAUAUAUUUUUUUAAAAAAAUAUAUUCAUGUUCCGGUGUAUUUUGUAAUGUUUCUAUAGUACUCGUG